rnacentral:misc_RNA from 1 species
UCCCCGUUACCGGGGCAGUCUGAUUAGAAAAAUACAACUAAUCAUAGGGGUUGCGCUCGUUGAUGGACUUAACCAAACGUCUCACGACACGAGCUGAAGACGGCCAUGCAACACCUGUCAUUGGGUUCCCGAAGGCACUCUCGGCUUUCGCCAAAAUUCCCAAGAUGUCAAGCCCUGGUAAGGUUCUUCGCUUACCAUCGAAUUAAACAACACGCUCCACCGCUUGUGCGGGUCCCCGUCAAUUCCUUUAUGUUUUAGCCUUGCGGCCGUACUCCACAGGCGGGAUGCUUAACGCGUUAGCUUCGCUACUGACCGGGUCGAUACGGCCAACAGCUAGCAUCCAUAGUUUACGGCGUGGACUAC